rnacentral:rRNA from 1 species
CAGUGCCGCGGUAAUACGUAGGGUGCAAGCGUUAAUCGGAAUUACUGCGCGUAAAGCGUGCGCAGGCGGUUAUAUAAGACAGAUGUGAAAUCCCCGGGCUCAACCUGGGAACUGCAUUUGUGACUGUAUAGCUAGAGUACGGCAGAGGGGGAUGGAAUUCCGCGUGUAGCAGUGAAAUGCGUAGAUAUGCGGAGGAACACCGAUGGCGAAGGCAAUCCCCUGGGCCUGUACUGACGCUCAUGCACGAAAGCGUGGGGAGCAAACAGGAUUAGAUACCCCCGUAGUCCCUGUCUCUUAUACA